rnacentral:rRNA from 1 species
UAGGGAAUAUUGGGCAAUGGGCGCAAGCCUGACCCAGCCAUGCCGCGUGCAGGAAGAAGGCCCUCUGGGUUGUAAACUGCUUUUGACUGGGAAGAAAAAGAUCUUUGCGAAGAUUGUUGACGGUACCAGCAGAAUAAGCCACGGCUAACUACGUGCCAGCAGCCGCGGUAAUACGUAGGUGGCGAGCGUUAUCCGGAUUUAUUGGGUUUAAAGGGUGCGUAGGCGGCUUAAUAAGUCAGUGGUUAAAGGUAGCAGCUUAACUGUUUUACAUGCCACUGAUACUGUUGAGCUUGAGUUGACAGAAGGCAGAUAGAAUUUCUGGUGUAGCGGUGAAAUGCUUAGAUACCAGAAGGAAUACCGAUUGCGAAGGCAGUCUGCUGCAGUCACACUGACGCUGAGGCACGAAGGUGCGGGGAUCAAACA